UACGUAGGGUGCAAGCGUUGUCCGGAAUUAUUGGGCGUAAAGAGCUCGUAGGCGGUUUGUCGCGUCUGCUGUGAAAACUCGGGGCUUAACUCCGGGCCUGCAGUGGGUACGGGCAGACUAGAGUGCGGUAGGGGAGACUGGAAUUCCUGGUGUAGCGGUGGAAUGCGCAGAUAUCAGGAGGAACACCGAUGGCGAAGGCAGAUCUCUGGGCCGUUACUGACGCUGAGGAGCGAAAGCGUGGGGAGCGAACAGG
rnacentral:rRNA from 1 species